AUGGAGCCGCCGCUGCCCCGCACUGCGCGCCCGCCCGCCGGCACCGGCACCGGCACCGCACCCCGAGGCGCACCGGGACCCGCACCCCCGACCCCCGAGGCGCAGCGGGAGCGGCACCGGGAGCGGCACCGGGAGCGGCGGCGGCGGGAGCCGGUACCGGUGCCGGCGGGGCAGCGCCGGCCCCCGCCCGCGCCCCGCCCCGGCGCGGCGGCGGGGGGCGGCGGGGAGCGGAGGCGAUGCGGGGCGGCGGCGGCCCGGGGGAUGCUCCCCGCCGCGGGCACGGUGAGUGCGGGCCGGGGCGGCGGGCGGCGGCAGCGGCCGUCCCAGCCCGCCGGCAGCCUACGGGGAACCGGGGCGGGUGGAUGGGGGGGAGGAAUAAGGGGGGUCCGCUCCGCCGCCCGCCCCACCGGCAAAACCCGCGGGGCGGCGAGGGGGGCCCGGACCACCCCCGUCACCCCGGGCAGGUCCCGGCCCGGCGGCUCCCGGGGCUGCCCGAGCCCGGUCCCGCGGGGGGAAGCGCUCCGGAGCCGCGGCGGGGAACGGGGCUGCCCCCGCUCGGGCCGGGGAGAGGCGGGGACCCCGCCGGGGGUGCCCGGGGACACGGGGCCGGGCUCGCCCGCCCCUUCUCGGGCUCACCCCUUCAGGCACGUCGGGGGGGGUCCCUGCCCCGGCUGCCCGGGGCCGGCCGGUGAGCGGGGCAGGCAGCUCCCGCCGAGCCGGUCCGCCCCUGGGGAGAGCCCCGGGACCGGGGCGCGGGGACCGGCGCUGCCCCCGGUGUCCCCGGGCGGCCGCGGCUGCUUCCACGCGGCGGCAGCUCCUCGUUCGUGGGCCCCACGUGUCCGGUACCGGCCUCCCCCGGCCCUGUGGGGCAGGUGCCAGCCCCGUGUCACCCGUGGGCUUCCUUUGCGACCCCUCGCAAGUCCUCCAGCGCGGUGGGACGCCGGCCCUCCGCCGGUUCCCGGUGCUCGCAGGUGCCCGGGGAGGUCUCCGGGCAUGGCCCCACGCCGCCAGCGAGGCCCGGCCUUAUCCCCGGCCUCAAAGAGGCCCCCCACCCCGGGAUGCUGGGACCCUCGUUCUGGGGAUGGGGCUCCCCAGCGGCCGCCACGCAGUGUAUGCAGGGUGCGCACCGGAGCCGUCCCCGCCCCGUUCCCCCCGUGCACCGGGACGGGCCCCAGGGGCACGGCGCUGCUCAGCCCCGGGGGGGGGGACGCGUGGGUUGUGGGGGGGCUGACCCGUGCGAGGGCAGCUCCUCGCGUGGACCGGCCCGAUCCCGACCUGGGAAGAGCUCAGGAGCCUGGUAGCGGCCGGCCGGGGCUCUCCGAGCCGGGGCAGGAGCAGAUCCCACCCGGACCCCCUCCAGGAGCCGGGGCUGCGGCUCUGGCAUCCCCGCGGGGCGCUCAGGACCGGGCCCGGCUGUUCCCCGUUCCCCCACCCCACGGGGGUGCGCAGCCAGCGCGGGGCCGCGCUGCCGGGGGGAGGCUUCCUUCGUCCUCCCGCUUCUCUCGGCGGAUCCCGGGGCCGUGCUGCCGCCGGCUGGGCGAAGCCCGCAGUGCAGCUCGGCCCCGCCGCCCGGCCGCCGGCUCCCGGGGCAGAUGCGCCCCGCCGGGGCCG
rnacentral:lncRNA from 1 species